GUUACUUUGGCAGAUUAAUGCAUUAAAUUUAGAAUUUAAUUAUGUAAUGGGUAUUACAUGUAACU
rnacentral:tRNA from 1 species